GAAAUGCGAUACGCAAUGCGAAUUGCAGAAUUCCGCGAGUCAUCAGAUCUUUGAACGCAACUGGCGCUGGAGGGAUAUCCUUCCAGCAUGCUUGUUUCAGUGUCUAGAAACCUCACAUAUCUUAAUGUGAUUGAGAUGUGCUAUACAUACUAUGUAUGUUUAAGUACAUUUCUCUCAUGAAAUAUGAAAGUGUGGAUCAUUCGAUCCAGCGAAGUAGUCACAUUCUAAAUGUGAUUUCGUUGGUAAACUCGAAUUAUCCGAAAACACUUUUACAUCAUACAUAUUCUUCAAUAUGCAUCUGAAAUCAAGCAAGAUCACCCGCUGAACUUAAGC
rnacentral:misc_RNA from 1 species